rnacentral:rRNA from 1 species
UUAAGAAAAUAAGUGCAAGCGGUGGAUGCCUUGGCAUUCAGAGGCGAUGAAGGACGUGAUAAUCUGCGAUAAGCUUCGGUUAGCUGGUAAAUGAGCUAUGACCCGGAGAUUUCCGAAUGGGGGAACCCACCUGACACAAGUUGGGUACUCACUCGAUAUAGAGUGUAGAGCGAACGAGGGGAACUGAAACAUCUAAGUACCCUUAGGAAGAGAAAUCAAUUGAGAUUCCCGUAGUAGUGGCGAGCGAAGUGGGAAGAGCCUGGUAUGAUUUAGCUGUAAUUAUAGUAGAACAAGUUGGGAAGCUUGACGAUAGAGGGUGAUAGUCCCGUAUACGAAAUAAUCACAGUGGAACUAAGCAUACGAACAAGUAGGACGGGGCACGUGGAACCUUGUCUGAAUAUGGGGGGACCAUCCUCCAAGGCUAAAUACUCCUGAAUGACCGAUAGUGGACUAGUACCGUGAGGGAAAGGUGAAAAGAACCCUUAUAAAGGGAGUGAAAUAGAAUCUGAAACCGCUUGCAUACAAGCAGUAGGAGCAUGAUUUAGUCAUGUGACUGCGUACCUUUUGUAUAAUGGGUCAGCGAGUUAUUUUUAGUGGCGAGGAUAACUGAAUAAGGGAUCCGUAGCGAAAGCGAGUUUUAAUAGGGCGACUAGUCGCUAGGAGUAGACCCGAAACCGGCGCGAUCUAUCCAUGGCCAGGUUGAAGAUUAGGUAGUACUAAUUGGAGGACCGAACCCAAUACUGUUGCAAAAGUAUGGGAUGAGCUGUGGAUCGGAGUGAAAGGCUAAUCAAGCACGGAGAUAGCUGGUUCUCCCCGAAAACUAUUUAGGUAGUGCCUCGUGUAUAACUCAUUGGGGUAAAGCACUGUUUCGACAAUGGGGGUUUUACGACCUUACUGACUCGAUGCAAACUCAGAAUACGAUGAAGUUCGAUCACGGGAGACACACUGCGGGUGCUAAGGUCCGCAGUGGAAAGGGAAACAGCCCAGACCGCCAACUAAGGUCCCAAAGUCAUAGCUAAGUGGGAAACGAAGUGGGAAGGCCCAGACAGCCAGGAGGUUGGCUUAGAAGCAGCCACCCUUUAAAGAAAGCGUAAUAGCUCACUGGUCGAGUCGGCCUGCACGUAAGAUUUAACGGGGCUAAGCUAUGCACUGAAGUUGCGGAAUAUAUUUAGUAUAUUGGUAGGGGAGCGUUCUGUAAGCCGAUGAAGGUGAAUUGAGAAGUUUGCUGGAGGUAUCAGAAGUGCGAAUGCUGACAUGAGUAACGUAAAAUAAGUGAGAUUCUUAUUGGCCGAAAACCCAAGGGUUCCUACGCAAUGUUAAUCAACGUAGGGUAAGCCGGCCCCUAAGGCGUAGCUGAAGAGUGAAGUCGAUGGGAAACAGGUUAAUAUUCCUGUGCUGCUUAUAUGAACGAAGGAGGGACGGAGAAGGUUAGGUAGGCCUGGCGAAUGGUUGUCCAGGUGAAAGUAUGUAGGUAGGAAUGCUAGGCAAAUCCGGUGUUCUGUUGAUCUGAGAUACGAGACGAAGUUAAACUUGUUUGACGAAGCUAUUGAUACCAUGCUUCCAGGAAAAGCUUCUAAGUAUAUUGUAUAAGUGACCGUACUGUAAACCGACACUGGUGGGUAGGUAGAGAAUACUAAGGCUAUGAGAUAACUCUGGUGAAGGAACUAGGCAAAAUGACACCGUAACUUUGGAAGAAGGUGUGCCCUUGAUGGUGAUGAGACUUGCUCUUUGAGCUGUUGGGGGUUGCAGAUACCAGGUGGCUGCGACUGUUUAUCAAAAACACAGCACUCUGCGAAAUCGUAAGAUGAAGUAUAGGGUGUGACGCCUGCCCGGUGCUGGAAGGUUAAUUGAAGGGGUUAGCGCAAGCGAAGCUCUGGAUCGAAGCCCCAGUAAACGGCGGCCGUAACUAUAACGGUCCUAAGGUAGCGAAAUUCCUUGUCGGGUAAGUUCCGACCUGCACGAAUGGCGUAACGAUGGCCACACUGUCUCCACCAGAGACUCAGUGAAAUUGAAAUCGCUGUGAAGAUGCAGUGUACCCGCGGUUAGACGGACAGACCCCGUGAACCUUUACUAUAGCUUUGCACUGGACUUUGAAUAUUUAUGUGUAGGAUAGGUGGGAGACCAUGAAGCAGCUACGCCAGUAGUUGUGGAGUCGUCCUUGAAAUACCACCCUUGAAUAUUUGAAGUUCUAACUCAGGAGAGAUUCGAGGAC